rnacentral:snRNA from 1 species
GUGCUCACUUCAGCAGCACAUAUACUAAAAUUGAAAUGAUGCAGAGAUUAGCAUGGCCCCUGCACAAGGAUGACACACAAAUUGGUGAAGCGUUCCAUAAUUUU